UGGGAAAGAAUUUAAAAUCUUGCUCGGGAAAGUUAAAGAAAAUUCUUAAAAUGCUCUAUGUUAUGAAAAAUUACACUGUAAAAUAUUGAUUUUAGAUGUAUAUAACAUAUAUUCAACACCCUUUGUCGGGAAAUUUGUUUACUUCUUUCAAGUCAGAACACCCUUGAAGAAAUUUCUGGCUUUGCCACUGACUGACUGUAUCAUGGUUUGGCGCGUGAUUGAAAUAAUGAUUGUAGGUAUGGGAAGGUGUUCAAGAGUUAUGUAUUGGGAAGGUACACGGUGUUCAUGACAGGAAGAGAAGCAAGUAAAAUAUUGUUGACAGGAAAAGAUGGAAUGGUGAGCUUAAACCUUUUCUACACAGGACAGCAAGUACUUGGACCUACUAGCUUGCUUCAACAGACGGGAGAUUCGCACAAGAGACUCCGAAAACUAAUUGCUGAACCACUUUCUGUUGAUGGACUUAAGAAGUAUUUUCAGUUUAUCAACAGCUUAGCUAUUGAAACAUUGGAUCAAUGGUCUGGAAAAGAAGUCUUGGUUCUUGAAGAGGCUUCCACAGUUGAGUCUUUUGAUUGUUGAGUUUGGUUUUUGAUUUAGAGGCAUUGUUUCAACCUGUUGGAUUAUGUUUUGCAGUUCACGCUCAAGGUGAUAGGCAACAUGAUAAUGAGCUUAGAUCCAACUGGUGAGGAACAAGACAAGUUUCGAACCAAUUUCAAGAUUAUUUCUGCCUCUUUUUCUUCUUUACCCUUUAAGGUCCCGGGAACUGCCUUUUAUCGUGGCAUUCAGGUAACAAAUUUUCAACAGUAUAUGCAGAAUAGGAUUAAUGGACAAACUAAAAGGGAUGGCUAUUUGUCAACUACAGGCUCGUGAUCGAAUGUAUGCUAUGUUAGACUCGAUAAUUGACCAACGGAGAAGUGGGAAAAGCUUGAAACAAGAUUUCUUGCAAUCCCUGGUAAAGAAGCAUGCAUCAGAAGGAAAUGAUGAUGAUGGCAAACUUACCGAUAAACAACUGAAGGAUAACAUAUUAACACUGCUAGUUGCAGGACACGAUACUACAACUGCUGCAUUGACAUGGCUACUCAAAUUUAUUCAAGAAAAUCCUGCUGUAUUGGAACGAUUAAGGGUAAUUCUUAUUGACCCUAACACGGGAAAAAGGAACAGCCUUUAACUUUCUGAAAUUAGAUUAUAACUUGAAUCUCUUAUUUGCAGGAGGAACAUAGAGAAAUCCAAGCUAGAAAACAAGGCACGUCAGAUCUUGCCUGGUCUGAAGUCAAUAAUAUGCCUUACACCGCCAAAGUAAUAAGUGAAACUCUUAGAAUGGCAACAAUCCUGCCUUGGUUUUCAAGAAAAGCAGCAAUGGAUUUUGAAAUUGAUGGAUUCAAAAUCAAGAAGGGAUGGUCUCUUAACUUGGAUGUAGUGUCUAUCCACCGCGACCCCAAGAUUUUUCCUAAUCCUGAGAAGUUUAAUCCUUCU